ensembl:lncRNA
UGUGUGUGUAAGAUGUUCACACUUGCACUUUUCAUAUUUCUAAAUUUUUGGGACUCAAGUAUUUGACAUUUAUGAAAUUAAAUAAAUAUUGACAUGACAAUCAAUCUGAAACCCUUAGUUUCAAAUUUGUUUUCAGAAUUUUUUCUGUUAACAGGAUUUCCUGUUUUUCAAACACAGCUCUGGUAUCGGAAUAUUAUCUGUAUUGGCCGAUAUCCAAAUUUAGGUAUCGGGAUCGGAUCGGAAGUGAAAAAAUGUGGAUCGGUG